AAGAAGAAGAAGAAGAAGAAGAAGAGAGAAAAUGGCGAUUACCCCCGUCGAUUCCCCCUCCCCUCCAUCUCCGAUCAGCAGAGCCAACCUGCACUUCUCCCGCCUCCUCGCGCUCCCGGCCGGUGACGGCGAGCUGGCUCUCGGUGUUAACACGGCGACCCCCCACCCUAGCAUCCUCCUGUGUGUGCGGCCUCCUUGCGAGCAGGUCUGGAGCGGCGGCGCGCGCGGCCGGCCCCCCAUCUCGGUCCUCGAAUCGAAUCGGAGAUAGUACUUCAGUUUGGAAAAAUGUCAGGAGAUUAAAAUUGGUGGAAGCCACUUGGCGCAAGUGCUACUCUUCACUCUUCAGUCACUGAAUAAUGAAGUAUCCCUGUACAAUGAAAAGGUAUUUCUGGCAUUUUAUGAUGAGAGGAUAAUCACCUUUUUUCAGGAAUAAGUAAAAGAUUUGGGCAUCAUUGCAUCAAGCCGAACAAAAAGGUUUAUAAAACAUCAAACACAUCCUGUGUGUUGAGCACAAUGGUCAAACGACUGGAACAAAGGAAAAAAAAACCGACAAUUCGACCUAAGCUACUGACAGAAACUAAGGAAUCAGACUACUAAAUGAGGCAAGCUCUUACUGUGCGACCCACUAAUUCGCUUCUUCUGCAAUUGACGCAAUGAUCCAAGAACAAGCACUUUUGCAGAAGUGGAGGUGAGACAUCUUUGCAGGGGUUGGCCUGUUGACAGGAAGCCUAUUGAGUUUACAAAAUGGUGGCAUGGUGUAAUGUUGUAAUAUUUUGCUACUCACUUCAGUUUGCAGUUAAUGAGUUUUGGAGUAAUCAUAGCAUUAGCCAAAUGUUUUCUGACAUAGCAAAGGUCUCCAAGGUCUCAGGCUCUCAGCUUACCAUGGCAGACCUGGUCUUACUGAUUGUGCACUAUUUCCUCAUAGAUAUUCCCCUUCUAGCAGUAAUAGCAUAAUUCCCUUCUUUCUGUGGAAUUUCGUAUGUUCAAAUUAUUUCAAUAUUGCCUCAGUUUUAUACUUUGCUGGUGUUAAUUGCUACUGAACUACUGAUAAUAUUGGAAAACCUGGCCUUAUAUGGAAUUACUGAAGUACCUUCCCUUCGAUCUCAGUUUACCAUGGGAGACCUGGCCUUACUAGAUUGUGUACUAGUUUCUGGUCAUAGAUGUUCCCCUUUUAUGGGCAGUACCUUAUUAAUAAUCCCUUUUCUUUCCUUUUGACACUGACAGUCUUUAAAUUACUUCAAUACUAACGAAUUUGCUAGUGCUAAUUGGUACUGACAAUGUUGGAAAACCGCAGCAGUAAUUGGUGUGGCAUGUUCUGCCUGAGAUGUUCAGUUAAUAACGUUGUUCCAGUCUACUUUGUUACACUCAGAUUGCCUUUUUGUUUGUUUUACUUUAGGUAGUACUUCAGUUUGCAAAAGACGAUGAUAUUGGAUUUGGUGGAAGUCACUCGGCACAAGUGCUGCUGUCAAGAGACAGGAAGCUGACCCCUGUACAAUGUAAAGUCAUUGCUGCCAUGCACAGGAAUCCUGUGCAUAUAUGAUCCAAGAUGCAACACUUUCGCACAAGCGGAGAUCAGGAUUCAGGAGAUAAGUUCAGCUUACUGAAGACCUGCUGAGUUCAGCUUGAAGUUGACAAGUUUUGCAGAAAUAGCUGACUCUUUUUUCACAUUGGAGCCUGUGAAACUGUUGUAAAUUCUUGAUGACGCUAGAUCUUUUUGUUUUGUAUAUUCUUCAGUAAAUGUAAAUAUAAUGUAAGAUGCACUUUUAAGUACGAAUCCUGAUAUAAGGGGCACAGCAGCUCUGUUUUGCA